UAGUGGAGUGAUCUGUCUGGUUAAUUCCGAUAACGAACGAGAUCCUCUCCAUCUAAAUAGCUAAAGUCACUUAAUGUGUCUUGAUUGCUUCUUAGAGGAACUAUGUGGAAUAAAUAUCACAGGGAAGCGGGGCCAUAACA
rnacentral:rRNA from 1 species